rnacentral:lncRNA from 1 species
GGAUGCAAGGGUGAUCUGACUGCAAAGUCUGUCAUCCUUUGAUCAUCAUGGUUGAUUCUGCUGGUCUGGUUGGCUAGGCAGGUGUCUCCUUCCUCCCUGACCACUCCACUUGCCUCCCUCCCUAAACCGUGUGCUCCUUCCGUCAAGAGUAUAAGAUUAGUUGUGCUCCCCUACUGCAACUUCCAAACAAGCUCUCAAGGAGUACAUUU